rnacentral:rRNA from 1 species
AGUGAACGCUGGCGGCAGGCCUAAUACAUGCAAGUCGAACGGCAGCACAGCAGAGCUUGCUCUGUGGGUGGCGAGUGGCGGACGGGUGAGGAAUACAUGGGAAUCUGCCCAGUCGUGGGGGAUAACGUAUGGAAACGUACGCUAAUACCGCAUGCGCCCUACGGGGGAAAGCCGGGGACCGCAAGGCCUGGCGCGAUUGGAUGAGCCCAUGUUCGAUUAGCUAGUUGGCGGGGUAAAGGCCCACCAAGGCGACGAUCGAUAGCUGGUCUGAGAGGAUGAUCAGCCACACUGGAACUGAGACACGGUCCAGACUCCUACGGGAGGCAGCAGUAGGGAAUAUUGGACAAUGGGGGCAACCCUGAUCCAGCCAUGCCGCGUGAGUGAAGAAGGCCCUCGGGUUGUAAAGCUCUUUUGUCCGGAAAGAAAAGCAAUCGGUUAAUACCCGGUUGUUCUGACGGUACCGGAAGAAUAAGCACCGGCUAA